rnacentral:rRNA from 1 species
UACGGAGGGUGCGAGCGUUGUCCGGAAUCACUGGGCGUAAAGGGCGCGUAGGUGGCGCGGGCAGUCAACGGUGAAAGUUCGGGGCUCAACCCUGAAUCGGCCGUCGAUACUCCCGGGCUGGAGCACUGUAGAGGCUAAUGGAAUUCCGGGUGUAGCGGUGGAAUGCGUAGAGAUCCGGAAGAACACCGGUGGCGAAGGCGGUUAGCUGGGCAGUUGCUGGACCACUGAGGCGCGACAGCG